GAGGCUCGUGCUCCGGGUCUCGCGGACGGCCGCCUCGGGCGUCGGGUCCCGGAGAUUGGACAGACACCAGAGCCCGAGGACCGCGGAGUGGCCGGGUGGGGCUGGAGGGCGGCGCCGCGCCUUCUGGGGAGACACGGAGGUAUCAGGACCUGGGAUAUACUCCUGAUUUUAUACAGACUGCCAUGGCUCCAGAUAUAAAAGACCAAAUAAAAAGAGAUCGGUAAGAGGGAGGGACCAAGAUGGCUGACCAGAAGCAGCUGCAGUUGGAGGCUCCCACCAAGAAGAAAGAAAAAGAGACAGCAGCUCCCUAUAUUGUACAGGCUGGCCUCAAGAGAUCUCCCACCUCGGCCACCCAAAUUAUUGGGAUUACAGGCAUGAGUCACAAUGCCUGGACUGUCAUUGAUUUUUGAAUAUUAAACUAAUCUUCAUGACUAGGAUGAAUCUCACUUGGUCAUGGAUUAAGACCCAAACGUUGUUGAAAAAUGUUCAGAUCCUACAAAACACUGACAUGCCAGUUCCUCAGCUUUGAUGGAGAAACCAGCUUUCUCUUCUUGCAGAGAUACUCUUCAUGAAAAGUGGAGCUCCAAGAAGAAUAGACAUGAGGAAAAUACGUAUUUUUACAAAAGGAAAUGUAUGGUGCAAUUAUAAACUGUAGCAUGAACCCAUAAUUGGAAGUCUACGUCUCACAGUUAUAGUCAAUAAUUCUGGUACAUAUGAAAUAAGUUCUUUCAAAAUGGGAUUCAGGUAUUAUUUAGAAAUGCAUCUACUGAAAAGAAGCAUACCACAAAAAUUUAUGCUGAUUAUGGAUGAGAUCAUGGACAGUUUCAUCCAAAUUAUGAGCUGGAUCUGUCAGAUGUAGAGUCUCAAUCAGGUCACUUGAAAGACCAAAUGAUUUCCUUUUCAUCUGAAGGGUUCAGAGAAGCAGCUUUUGAAAAGGCGCUAUUGAAAUAUUCAAGGUAGCUGUUCUUAGCACAGCUUUGAUUUCUAAAACAACUAGAAGGACUGUAGAACUACAUGAGGGAAGAGAAGAGAAACUGAAGAAUUGUUUGAAAACAUAAAUAUUCUUUACUUAUAGUACCACUCCAUGCUUUGUGAAAAAAAAUUAUUUUAUGAAGUCAAGAAGUAAAUCAGAAGAAAACAGCAGGGAAAGUCAGCACAAACUGGUUUAUCUAAUACUUUCUCAGUGUCCAAUUUGCAAUGCACUGAGUUCCCUGCUUAACUAUGUCUAUACAAUGGGGGCAGGGAGAGGAGUAGGUUAAAAAUAAAUAUGAGUUGCAAGUCUUUCUCCUCAGGCUGCUAAUAUUAAUAUACCUGAAUUUUAUGUUUGUUGUUGUCUUCCUUGUCUCUAUAGUUUUUGCAACUAGUGUAUAUAUGUCUAAACAAUCUAUUGCUUAAAUUUACAUAAUUUUCAACUUUACAUAUGUAGAAUCAUGCUGUUUGUUUCCUUCCAUACCUCAGUUUUUUCACUAAAAAUUGUCUUCUGAAAAAACUUGGAGGUAUCAUCCUUCCUGAUUUAAAAUUAUAUUACAAUGUUAUAGUAAACAAAUAAGUAUAGUACUAACACAAAAACAGACACAGUGUAACAGAAUGGAGUGCAGAUAUAAAUUCAAACAUACACAGUAAGCUAAUUUUUGACAGAGACACCAAGAGGAUACAGUGGGAAAAGGAUAGAAUCUUCAAUAAAUAGUGCUGAGAAAAUUGAAUUUCCACACAUAUGCAAAAUUUAUAAAAUAUAAGGUCUAAAACUAUAAAAUUCCUUAAAGAGAACACAAAAAGCUCCUGGACAUUGGCCUUGGAAAUAAUUUUUUGAAUAUCCCACCAAAAAAUGAAAAAAAAAAAA
rnacentral:lncRNA from 1 species